UUUCUCUUAGUUUAAAAGGUUAGAACUGCAAUCUUCUAAAUUGCUAAUUUUGGUUCAAAUCCAAAAGAGAAUA
rnacentral:tRNA from 2 species